UACGUAGGGACCAAGCGUUGUUCGGAUUUACUGGGCGUAAAGGGCGCGUAGGCGGCAAUUCAAGUCAUCUGUGAAAUCUCCGGGCUUAACCCGGAACGGUCAGGUGAUACUGUUCUGCUAGAGUGCGGAAGGGGCAAUCGGAAUUCUCGGUGUAGCGGUGAAAUGCGUAGAUAUCGAGAGGAACACCAGAGGUGAAGACGGGUUGCUGGGCCGACACUGACGCUGACAGCGCGAAAGCCAGGGGAGCAAACGGG
rnacentral:rRNA from 1 species